CAUCAUCUUUUCUGAUCUGUGCGUAAGUAUUCCAUAUUCUGCUUUUCGAAUUUUCUUUCCUUGUCAGCUCAUAAACACCAUCCUUGACUUUUUGUAAAAUACUCUCAUGACUUUCCAUUGAAAUGCGUAUCGAGUUAACUCUUUUAAUUAGUAACACAAUUUUCUAAUAAUUCAAUGUUUAUAUUCAACUUUGAAUCAAGUAUAGAUACAGAGUACAAGUACUUGAAAUACUACUACUCGCUAUCAUCUGUUGUUAUGUCUCGUACUCAAUAAUCAUGAUUCAUAUCGUUUUAAAUAAGUGCGGUUUAUCGGUUAAAAUGACAUGGCACACUAAUCAUUAAUCGAAGACUACUGGCUAAAUUUGAUUUUGGUAAUUUGUUUUUAUGAAAUGAACUUAUGAAAUAUUGCUAAAUUUGACAUUACAUUUUUGAGAAAGCUUUGGAAAUUACAAAUAAUCAUAGCAAUAUUAUAUUACUUAUGGCAAUGAAACUCUCGAUUAAAAUUCAGCGAUGAGCGUUUCUUAUCAAAAUACGAUAAAUUUUUCUAAAUAUCUGUUAAAAUGAAUUAUUAUUAUUUGAUGAAUCGUCCUCUUUUUCUGGAAAUAAUAGGUUUUUUACAGCAUUUAAAAUAAAUAAAAUAAAAUCUAAUUUUGAAAAAAAAUUUGCAAUCGGGCAUUAUCUUUCCAUCUGUUUUUAUGCAGAAAAAAUGCAACUAGUAUAUAUUUAUGUAUGUCAAUGCAAUUAUUAUAAGGUAAGUUAUGCAAACAGUGGCACCCGGAAAUUGAUUUUCACAGGCAUACUGCUAACAUCCAGAGAUAUUACUUUAUAAUAAAAAUCAAACAUAGUGGAAUGAAUAAUAAAAAAAUAGAUAUAUAAAAUGAAAAAUAAAUCUUGAAAUUAAAAAGAAAUUUCGCCAUAGCAGAAAUAUAUAUGUUUAGACGUCAUUCGCCGUUUAUCCGAUGAAACGUUCAAGUUUAUAGAAGAAGAAUCUAACCGCAAAGCAAUAAUUGUAACAAAUCAAUUGAGCACAGUGAGACGGCUGGAGUCAUUGAUAUGAACAUAUGAUCAGAAGGCAAGGAAGUGAUAUGAAAGUGUGUUAAAUGUAUAUUCAUAGCGCUAAUGCUGCCAAAAUAUUGGAUAGCUUCUAUUAAUUCAGUAUUAUUAUGCACUCAUUACGUUGAACAUGUGUGUCUUAGUUAUUCGUUCGUUAUCAGUGCGAUAUCUAUAAUAGUCAGCUCGAACCGAUAACACUUGGCGCUAUAAACUGCUGGAGAUUAUACUACGCUGUCUCACUGAUCAAAUAUCAACAUAUGAAAUAAGAUGGACGAAGUAUUUUCAUUACAUUUAGGAAAACUCGACAUUUUUGAUGUCUUCUUUCUUGCUGGCAUUUUAUCUUUGGUUAUACUAUUUUCAAUUUGAAAUCGAAUGGAGACCGUAUGAAUAUGGAUUAAAAUAUAAAUAAUUAUUUUGAUUACACGCGUAUAAAUACUGCGACGAAAAUACACAAUUGUGAAAUUCCUGACGUUUUCAUGUGAAAACAAAAAAAUAAAAAUGAAGAAAACGUCAAAUAACAUUACAGGGUUGCCAGCAGUAUUUUUAAAGAAAUGUUAAUGAUUACGAGAGAGAAUAAUGCCCUAGAAAAUAAAUAUGCUAAAUAUAUAAAUUAUUGUUUUUUUGAAACUGUUUCAUCAAUUAUGACGAACAUUUAACAAAUCUUAUUAAAUUUAAAAAUAUUAUUUUAUUAAUCGAUUAGUUCCAGAAGUUGUAGCAUUAUAUUGUUUUAAUCUUAAUUAUGUCGUUUUAAAUAAAAAUUAGAGAAGAAAAAAUAUAUGUUUGAUACGUUUAUGCGAAAGUGUAGCUUUAUGGGUAGUAUGAGCAAAAUAAACGAAAUAAAUAUGGAUUAAAAAUAAAAAUGCA